AUAAAAGAUACUUUAAAGAUGGAUUAUCUCAUGAUCAUGCAUGGUGUCAAAAAAGAAGAUCAUUUAUUUAUGGCAUUAGUUGCAUCUAUAUUGCAGAAUGCUGCUGGUGUUAAACAAGGCUGUGGAAUAACGGAUGAUAUCAUGACAGGCGAAAAAUAAUAUUUUGGAUUAUGGAAUAACGAUUUGAAACAUGGCAAUGGUUUAAUUGUAACACUUGAUGGCAUUUAUUAUGAUGGAGCUUUUACGCAAGAUGUCCUAAGGGUUAUGGAGUUAUGAUAUUCGAAGAUGGCACGCAUUAUUAAAGAAAAUUUAAAUCUGCAGGGAUAAAAGAUUUCAUUUUUUAAAAAUUUAUAAAUCACAAUAACAUUUAAGCCCAUUGAAGAGAAAGUUUGUAACAGCAUAAUGUGUUAAAUAUAAGUCGUAUUUUUUAAAUAUA